GGAGGAAACAGCCACUGCUUGAAAGACUCACUGAAUGUUGGGUUAAUCAAUUCCCUCUGUUUAACAACAACAGCAAAAACCCAAGAUAUGGGAUGGGAACCAGGGGCUGACACACAGUGGAUGCCUAGCAGAGAGUUGUUGAAUGAUUGCUGAAUGAAUCCCAUGAAGCUUACCACACCCCUCAGACCCCACCCUCUCGGUGUUGGCCCAGCUGCAAGUCCACAUUCAGGCAGAUAGCCAGGCCUGCUCCUCUGGCUGCUCGGCCUCUUGGAAGCUCUGUUUCUCCCUUUAUGUUGCUGGAUGAAGUCUCUGCUUUCCCUCCCCACAACUUCGAGACCUCUGGAACUAUGAAUGGAAACCAAAUCAGCCUCAUAAUUUGUAUUCAUCUGUGGGGACCCAGGUGAUUCAGAGAGGGCCUGAACUGUGCAUGUGGCACGUGGCCACUCCACCCAGCUGCCUUUACCUAAAAUAUUAACUGUUAUUGAUGGAGUCCCUCCUAGGAUGCUGGACCUAAGGCCUUAUUACAUUAUUUCAUUCAGUCCUUUAAACAAAUUUUAGGGAGUAAAUGUGUAUAUCCUUUGGGGACAGGUGAAGAAAUUGAAGCCCAGAAAGAUGAAUUCAAUUGGCCAAAAUCACUGUCAGUGGCACAAUUGGGUGUUGAAUCCAGAUGUUUGAUUCCAAAGGUAGUUCUCUUAUCCACCAAUCAGAAGUUGGAUACAUCAUCAGUGGGUUUGCCCUGGAAAGGACUCCUGUAUCCAGAAGACAGGGAUGGAGACGGGGAGAGACAUCCCACCCUGACAUGGGCUCAUGUUACUCUCUGGGAUCAGACUGGAGAAAGCACCUGGCUCAGCCUGUGGCAGCUUUAGCUGCUCACCUCUCCCACUCCCCCGGGGACCCCCUGGG
ensembl:lncRNA